UUUGUGAAAGGAGGGUCGAGUAUUUAUAGUUUGAAAAUAGGCAGAAGUAAGGGAAGAAUCAUGGUAACUAUGCAACUAUGUAUCAAUUACAAUCAAUAAACAUAGGAACUUCCGUUAAUUAAGGAGAUUAUACUCAAAUGGUAAUGGGCAUCAAACAGUUAAGGAAAGAAAUCAAGUGAAAAACUUGUGUAAAGUAGGAAAUUAGGGGUAAAUACAUAGGGGUCUAACUAAGGAAAGAAUAUUUAAAAUACAUUGUUAGCCCAAAUAAGGUAAGAACAUAGUAAAUCAAGGAAUCAACGAUUCAAAAUUACCAAUGAACCAGGUCAGAAAUAGGGUAAUCGAAAGGCUAAUGAAAAAUUUUCAAAUCAAAUGGGAAAAAACAAUGAAAGAAUCAAUCAGGCUUACACAAAGAGGUCUAAAAUCAAUCCAAAAUCUAAGGUUUUUUUAGAGGGACAUUCAAUGUCUAUAAAAAGUACACAAACAUUAGUCAUGCGAGGUUAAACCAUGAUAAACAGAAAC
rnacentral:lncRNA from 1 species